AACGAACGCUGGCGGCAUGCCUAACACAUGCAAGUCGAACGAGACCUUCGGGUCUAGUGGCGCACGGGUGCGUAACGCGUGGGAACCUGCCCUUAGGUUCGGAAUAACUCCCCGAAAGGGGUGCUAAUACCGGAUAAUGUCUUCGGACCAAAGAUUUAUCGCCUUUGGAUGGGCCCGCGUUGGAUUAGCUAGUUGGUAGGGUAAAAGCCUACCAAGGCGACGAUCCAUAGCUGGUCUGAGAGGAUGAUCAGCCACACUGGGACUGAGACACGGCCCAGACUCCUACGGGAGGCAGCAGUGGGGAAUAUUGGACAAUGGGCGAAAGCCUGAUCCAGCAAUGCCGCGUGAGUGAUGAAGGCCUUAGGGUUGUAAAGCUCUUUUACCCGGGAUGAUAAUGACAGGACCGGGAGAAUAAGCUCCGGCUAACUCCGG
rnacentral:rRNA from 1 species